CAGAUGAACGCUGGCGGCGUGCCUAAUACAUGCAAGUCGAGCGAACAGACGAGGAGCUUGCUCCUCUGACGUAGCGGCGGACGGGUGAGUAACACGUGGAUAACCUACCUAUAAGACUGGGAUAACUUCGGGAAACCGGAGCUAAUACCGGAUAACAUGUUGAACCGCAUGGUUCAACAGUGAAAGACGGUCUUGCUGUCACUUAUAGAUGGAUCCGCGCCGCAUUAGCUAGUUGGUAAGGUAACGGCUUACCAAGGCAACGAUGCGUAGCCGACCUGAGAGGGUGAUCGGCCACACUGGAACUGAGACACGGUCCAGACUCCUACGGGAGGCAGCAGUAGGGAAUCUUCCGCAAUGGGCGAAAGCCUGACGGAGCAACGCCGCGUGAGUGAAGAAGGUCUUCGGAUCGUAAAACUCUGUUAUUAGGGAAGAACAAAUGUGUAAGUAACUAUGCACGUCUUGACGGUACCUAAUCAGAAAGCCACGGCUAACUACGUGCCAGCAGCCGCGGUAAUACGUAGGUGGCAAGCGUUAUCCGGAAUUAUUGGGCGUAAAGCGCGCGUAGGCGGUUUUUUAAGUCUGAUGUGAAAGCCCACGGCUCAACCGUGGAGGGUCAUUGGAAACUGGAAAACUUGAGUGCAGAAGAGGAAAGUGGAAUUCCAUGUGUAGCGGUGAAAUGCGCAGAGAUAUGGAGGAACACCAGUGGCGAAGGCGACUUUCUGGUCUGUAACUGACGCUGAUGUGCGAAAGCGUGGGGAUCAAACAGGAUUAGAUACCCUGGUAGUCCACGCCGUAAACGAUGAGUGCUAAGUGUUAGGGGGUUUCCGCCCCUUAGUGCUGCAGCUAACGCAUUAAGCACUCCGCCUGGAGACGCCCAGUGU
rnacentral:rRNA from 1 species